rnacentral:lncRNA from 1 species
GAGCUCGAAGCGCUGCCAUAGCAUGUAGACAGGGUAUUUUAUCCAAAUCAAACACUUUCCACAUACAAGAUCUUGUUUAUAGAUUGACCGUGGCAACAUCACCAUGACCGUCGAUACUGAACUCAUAAUCUUCUAUUUGAUGAGCAAAUAACUUAUUCCCCAGGCUGACAUUCGUUGAUAUUUAUUUUUUUGCUUUUAGAACAAAUUUAGUUCCUAUAUUUACGAACUACACACGCCUUUUAUGAAAUAAUUUUCCAUACAUCUUGUUU